rfam:Zostera marina strain Finnish scaffold_20, whole genome shotgun sequence.
AAUGUGGUGAGAGAGCUUCCUUCUGUCCACUCAUGGAUGAUCAUGGGGUUUUAUUAACUGCCGACUCAUUCAUCCACUUGCUUAGCGAUAUCGUAGCUUAGUAGAUGACUGAAUGAUGCGGGAGUUAAAUUUGAUCUUUGAUUAUCUGUUCUUGGACUGAAGGGAGCUCCCUUGUCUUUUACU